rnacentral:lncRNA from 1 species
AGAGAAUUACCUUCUCUAAUACACAGAGAAGCUGCUGAUACAGAAAACAGUAAGACAUUAAUAACUGAGAAAAAAUUAAGUAUUAUUAUUAACACAAAUGAAAUUCCCUUGACUUAAGCUGUGGCCCGUGCUUUUUUCAGGUCUGGCUUUUCGGAGAUCUUAGUCUUGACCCAGCAGAGAGAGAGGCUGGGAAGAGGCGGGGUGGCGCACGAUCUUCAGUGCGCAAGCGUGACCCAUUGAAGGUGUCUGGCAAUGAAACAAUUCUGAAGUCCAAGCCCUUCGGAAUCAUCUCUGGUUUGCCUUUACCUUUGCCUCUACUCUUCCCCCUUUCCGCCUCUUUGGGACAAUUUUCUAAUUUGUCCAUUCUAUAAAGUAUAUAGUCCUGAUGCUUUUUGGAAAUCAAUGAUGACACCUACGGGUAAAUACUGAACAAAUACCAACACCAGACCACACAAAGCCAUCCAUGGUCGAGUAACCACCGAACAAGAAAGGGCAGAGGACUCCGGGGAGAGCAAACCCCACCUUUCCAGAUGUAAAUCUCGCUCACGAUCCUUACUAGGUUUGAAGAGUUUCAUCCUCUGAACUUGAAGAACUGGACUUGGUGGAUUAAAGAACCUAGAAAAGGAUGGAGACAAGCUCAGAAACUAGGAGCACUGGCUUCAGUUCCAGAUGACCUGGGUGUGAUUCCCAGGACUCACAAAGAAGAUCACUGCCAUCUGUAAAUCUAGUUCCAGGAGAUCUGACAACUUCUUCUGAUCUCCACAGCCAUCAGGCGUGGAAGAGGCAAACAUACAGGCAAACCUGUCACACACAUUAAAAACUGUCAUUUCUCCCUUGUAUCUCUAGAGAGUACAAAAGUGGUUUGGGGGAGGGGACAGGGGUUUGCUUCGUUUCCCAAAGGGCUGUUUGUUUGUUUGUUUGCAUUUCCUUAGGAACGAGUUGAUGGACUACUUUAAUGGCUAUCAGUGGGGACAUGGCAAGACAGAUGGAAACUGAGGGAGCAAAGGCACUAGAAGGUAGCCAUCUUGUGAGCUUUUAUUUCUUUCUGAUCAGCCUCUUUCUCUGUAAAUGCUCUGCUAAAGAGUCUCAGGAGAUGAUCAUGAGUGAUAGAGUCAGGCCUUGGUGGUGUCCCCAAGUCUCUAUGGUAGGAAAAGCCCACUCCUUGGGCAGAGAGUGCUGCUCCUGGUAUUGGGAAUUUUGAGUUGUGUUGUGUUUGAGGGAAACUUUCCUUUUUCCUUCCCAUGUCUGCUGUCUGCUCUCUAGAGUUAGUCAUUAACAUUUUCCUACUUUAAAUAACCAUUGUAUAUACUGUAAUGGAAAAAUAUCUUGUAUUUGUACCAGAAGAAAGGGAUAUUUUUCCCACUUAGAAGGGAUGAUUGCUAUAUUUCAUUUUCUGGCAUGGAAUGCUGAACAUCUUGAAGCCAAAUAGCAUCUCUUCCGCUUCAACUCUUUACCACUAAUUGCUGCUUCAAAGAUGGUUUGUAGAUUUUAGAAUAAUACCUGGUAAAGUAAGACUGCAUGAUGCUUCCUCCUUAAACUGAGUGUUAAGACAAUCUUGCAGGGAGCAUGGAAGUGCUAAUGAUCUUGAAGCUUUCUAGGGACUGUGGUCCACACAAGGAGAAGACAGGGAUAGUCAAAAUAUAGAGAAAACUAUCCUUGUGAUGACCAAAUGUCAGACCUCAUUUUCAAUGACCCCAGAGCACAACAGAGUUGGUUACAGAGGGACUCUUGCUGAGGAACAUGUCUGGCUGAGAAUGAAACCCUAGACAAUAAAUCUGGAGGCAAGAUUGCCAAGGUUACAGCAGUGAAGUCAUUUACAGUCCCUAAAAAUGUCCCAGGUGUUUGUGAUGCCAAGUACUGUUUUAAGUUCUUUACUAUGAAAGCUACUUGGAAAGUGAAAUCUUUCAAAUGUUAUUUCCCUUCAAUUUCCAAGUAGCCAUCCGGUGUGAUAUGUCUGACAAAAUGUUGUCUGUAUGCUGUAACAGGAUUUUGACCACUCUUGAGAGAAAGCAGAAUAAAGCCGAGCACUGAGAAUCCUGAGAAACUCAUAAAUGUUUCAGUCAAGUUCAGAAGAUCACAGCUUCUUUUUUCUUUUGACCUUGGGCUCAGUGUUUGUUUUUCUGAUACAAUAAAACAGCACCCGUGUUCGAGACCUCAAUCUGAGCAACUUUUCCCCUGCCGUUGUCUGCCAGGAAGAAAGCAACCCAGCUUCUUUGCGUUGAGAAUCCAAAUUGGGAUAUGCUUGUAAAUUGUGGUGUGAAAUUGCAGAAGGCAAACGAGUUCAGGGUGAUGUUUCCUAAUUCUCUCUGAUAAUCUUGCGGACAUGAGCUCUUCCAACCAUUGCUAAGGCAUGCUUGGAACAAGUAGUUUCAUGGUGUUCCUUCCUAUGGACAUGACUGAUAAAUUAAGGAUCACAGAGGUAUCAUUUGGGAAGUAAAUUUCAGACUAUGGAAAGUUUGAGCUGACAUACUAACAGGAACAGUAAGAACUAACUUUAAAACUUGUUUUCAUCCCCUUCUCUGAAUGUUUAGCCUUUUUUUGGGAGGGGGCAUUGGAAUAUUUCCUUUGCAAGGCUUGCAAAGAUUGAUUAUAGUUCAUGUCUAUAGUUCAUGUGCUAUUUUGACAGGAGACAGCCCUGUACUAUUCAGCAAAGAAAUGCAAAAUACAUUCUAUUUUCAAGAUGAGUUUUAUUUUGUGGUGUGUGUGUGUAUGUGUGUGUGUGUGUGUGUGUGUGUGUGUGUGUGUGUGUGUGUGUGCUUGUGUGUGUUGGAAAGCUGUUGUUUAUGCAUUUGGAUUUUUAUUCAAGCACAGUAAAAGCUCUGCUUAGUUUCUUAGGAUGUGACAAUAAAUUAGGGCUAGAAAGGAAUAAAGGCCCAUGUUUCAGAACAAGGUUAAACAGUCCCCAAAUAUUUCCUUCUAAAAUUUUCAGUCCUAGCAGAUCAAAUCAACCUCAUAUUUAUUAUUGAUACCAGUACAAAAAAAGUUUGCACAGCAUCUGCAGACCCUAACAUUCUACAUGUCUGUGGUCCUUCUUUCUGAAGGAAUGGAAUCUUUAAUUCAUGCCAGGAACUUUGCCAACAGGGCUGAAUAAUGAGGCAGCUUAGACAGUUUAGAGCAACCUACCCCAUGUAGAUUUUGGCAAGGCCUUAAUUCUUUCUCACGGGUAUUAAGGUUGCUUCAGAGCUAUUUUUUGCUUUAAAUGAUAUUUAAAGAAGAGAAUUUUGGAAUACAGUUUGAGACAUUUCAGCUAAUGUCAGCCUCUGUAAAAGACGAUUUAGUUUCACAGGUAGCUUUUGGUUUUGCCCAUCCCAGAAGUGUAAAUUCUACUUUGACUAAGCUAUAUGUUUUCAGCACCAGGAACAGCGAUCACUUCCCUCAUCUGGGGUCUACUCUCAAAAUUAGAUUUCCAGACAGGGAAGAACAGACUUUCCCAUCAUUUCCUAUCCACAGAGCCUCAACUUGGAAAGGUUUACUCUUAAAUUUAGGUGCUUGUAUAUUUAAUUUUUUCACAAUUUAAGAGUUACCCGCUCUAGUUGGUGAUGUGAAACUUGGAGAGUGGAGCCAACAUUAUUCAGAGCAUCAGACAACUUGUGUUAAGUAAUGUCAUGAGCAAAUUUCACACGAGUUUAGGCUGUAUACAGUCAUAAGGACAACCCAUGUUUAGAAACAUCUUUGAAUAACAGAAUUAAGCACCAAUGUAUAAUCUGAAGCAAACCUACUCUUAUUUAUUACACCCAGGAGGGGAAACAACCCAUAUGGAGAAACAGAGGCCACAAGACUUUUAACUUAUUUUUCUUUGAGUUAUUUCACAAAACGUCAAUUCAUGAACCAUGUUUCGACAUCCAGAAAUAGCUUUUAUUCUCUCCCAAGCCUGGUGAGGCUGUUUCUGCUAUGUUUUUGACCCGCUUAAAAAAUAUAGACUGCCACAGUCAGAUUUCUCAGCACAGAGAUGGUAAAGACACUGAGAUAUUAUUGAUGGGAAUGCUUUGGGACAGGAAUCUCUUUUCUAUUAGGCACCCUUGAUUUUCAUACUCCUUUAAGGAAUACUGCUCAUUGACAAUCACUUUUUAAAAAUAUGCAUAGUGUUCACAAUCUAUAAGGCAAUGGAUGAUUGGUUGCAGGCAGAGGCAGUAAAUUACAGUGGUAGAGAUGAAGUUAUGAGCUUUGAGGACAAAUAAAGGCCUAAUAAUGCUGUCACUAGACAUGUUGGAAACUCAUAGAAGAAUACUACUUUGAAUCUUGGCAUCCAGUUUUUAACCUUGAGUGCUGUUCAACAGCUGUCUUUGCCUUAAACAAUCAUGGUAAGAUUGGAAAUAGAUCCUCUUGGCUUUCUCCAGACCAGUCCAAAAUGGACACUGGGGAAAUGAGAGCAACAGAAGCACAUGUCACUAUGCUUUGUGAUCGUCCAGUUUUCCUAUAGCACAAAAAUUCAUAGGUAUCACCUAAGAGGCAGUGCAAUCUUCUCUCAUUUACUUGGAAGCUUCUUUGGGGCCCUCUCAAAGAUGGUAACCGAAUAGCAGCUGUUUCCUCCUCAUUCUGUUCAUCAUCAUCCUCAUCCUUCUCCUCUUCUUCCUCCUCCUCCUCCUCCUCCUCCUCCUCCUCUUCCUCCUCCUCCUCCUCCUCCUCCUCCUCCUCCUCCUCCUCCUCCUCCUCCUUCUUCUUCUUCUUCUUCUUCUUCUUCUUCUUCUUCUUCUUCUUCUUCCUCGUCUUCUUCUUCUUCUUCGUCUUCUUCUUCGUCUUCUUCUCCUUCUCCUUCUCCUUCUCCUUCUCCUUCUCCUUCUCCUUCUCCUUCUCCUUCUCCUUCUCCUUCUCCUUCUCCUUCUCCUUCUCCUUCUCCUUCUCCUUCUCCUUCUCCUUCUCCUUCUUCUUCUUCUUCUUCUUCUUCUUCUUCUUCUUCUUCUUCUUCUUCUUAGAUGUUACAAAAUUCAAUUUUGGGUGCCUCUGAAUUAUCUGAGUCCUGAUUAAUCUAUCAUUCUUUCUAUCCCCCUUUUUUCUCUGUCCCUUACACACCCUUCUUUCCCCCGCAUUAUUACUUAUAACAAUCCAUAGCAUUAAUGAUGAGAGACCAUAUAGCAUUCCUUUCAAGGAUAGAGAAAUAUCAGAGGCAGGCUGGAGUUAGGUUUCAGAGGAACAUGUUCAACAGAGCUCGUCUUGGGAUGGGUCUGAGGAGAAACACAUUGCUCUCCUUUCCUUGCCUUCUUAAACAGCUUCACCUAUGCUUAUGCUUCUCACACACAAAGGACCAUAGCAUGCAUUUAUCUGGGUGGCUUUCGUGAACAGAUAGUGGGCAUGUCAAAUAUCCUCAACUAGGUUCGGUUAAUACCGGAGAACUUCGUUUUCAUAGCAUAGAAAAGGUAUGUACAGAAAAGAUUAUGAGCUGCAGGAGAGCCUCAUAAGAGAAUAUUUUCUUCAAUACAAUCAUAAAAGCUACAAAUUUAUCAUUCACGGAACACAUGACUCUCUGGCAAGCAGAAAGGUGGUCUGAAAUGAGACAGAGAGUAGGCACCUGUGAUGCCCAAGGAUGAACAGACCAGAACUAAACCCCAGCAAGAUUCUUAUACUUUUUCUGGAAAAAAAAACCCUUAAAUGUCAAGGGCACAUUUAGCUUUGCCUCUUUAGAGGUAAAGCUCAGUGCUACUUCUGGGUUCUUAAGGCAAGUGCCCUGUAAACACCAAAGUCUUGUAUUUUCUACUCUCAGCCAGCAUUGGCUGUCCCGAGUAGGAUGUUUUUCCCUUCCUUAAGUGAAAGGGUCUUGUUUCAGGAGAAGUGUCCUUUAAACAUCCAGCUAAAACUGGAGGUAAUUUUUUGCAUGAAUGGCUUUUUACAGCUAGGUCUAAAGCAGAACAAAACUUGUAUCAAACUAAGUGCUACUUUACAUAUCUUAUUUCAAGGGAAAUGAAGGAUUUAUUGCCGUGUAAAUGAUAUACACUGAUUUCUUUCCUACUGGACAUUACAUGUCCCUUUAUCUUCAGGCUGAUGUUGUGCAGCAAACUUUCAACAUCUGGAAAAUCAGCUGGUACCUACUUCAGAGCACUAGCAGGACAUUUUAUUCCCAGAGAGGAAUUUUGCAAAUGAAGUUUGGGUGCUGAUGCAACUGAUUUCCAUCCCCUAUCCCUAAGCUUUCUGUACUAAAUAUCUGUAAAAUGAUUAUAUCUUGUCUGACCCUGUGUGUUUGUGUAUAUUCCCCAAUGUUUGUAUAACUAUAGUGGCAAUCUGAAGGGUUAUUUUUAUUUAUGGCAACUGCUGAACAAUGAUGAAUGUGGCAUAGUGGUACACAUGUGAUAUAUGUACACAGCAGUAUUGGGGCCAAGCAAAUGUACUCACUGAGUUUGGGGUGAGCAUCAGUACGGCUUGGCUUGUGGGAUAUUCCAUGAUGGGUAGAGUAUUUCCAAAUUACUCUUAACUGCUAAAGAACUUGAAGAAACUGAGCUGGAAAAUGCUCAUCCAGAUCUUAGGUUAUUUAUAUAAGUCCCAACUGACAAAUAUUCCAUCUUUAUUUUAACAAAACUAUUCUUUCAUGAUGCUCAUUGUUUUAUUCUACAGGCUACGUGGAAGUGCUGAUCAUGCUUGCUUCCAAUGAUUGGAUUCCCAAGCUGAUAAUAUAACAGACUGUGGUGUUACAUACACUAGGAUUAACUUGUAGUACCCCUUUUUGGAGAAGUUAUUCUUUUCAUUAUUUUCCUUUCUCAUAGAUUAAUUCCACUGUCUAUGCUAACUUUAUUUAGAUAUGUGCAAGUACUGAAGAAUCAAUCUAUUUAAAAUGAUGGCUGUGUUUGCCUUUGGAGAACAGGUUCAUAGUCUUAUGUAAAAUUCUUCCAGGAGCUUAUCUUUUAUGAAACAGAACAAAAUCAAACUAGAACAGAACCAAGGGUGACUUGAUAAAAUGGCAAGAUAGCCCCAGGGUAGAAAGAGGUGUUCUCAGUUGACAUGAAGAGUUGUACUGGAAAGACAAGUACCCACCCUUCUUCUCUUCCCACCUGCCUCCCUUCCUCCCCAACCACAGAAGAAAACAGAAACUUAUUUUUUUAAAACUGUAUUAAUAAUUUAUGUUUAAUACAAAAGGAUGAUUUAAUGGUAUCACCAAAGGUCAUUUCUCUCAUUGUGCAUGUCCUUCACUCUCGACCCCAAAUAUUCAUCCCAUUCUUCACCCUCACUUCCAUUCCAAUGCAAAUGUGUGUCUUCAUCAAACUCUAUGGGUGUUGGAGUUACAUGUGGGGGUAGAGAUUUAAUACCUUGACACUAACAAAAACCAACCAUCCUUCACUUCCAAGUGACAGUUAUUACAAGAAGGAAAACUCUUUUCCUGGUUUUUGUUUAAAAUCAUUUUAUACAUAUAUAUGUAUAUAUGUGUGUGUAUGUAUGGACAUAUGUAUGUAUAUGCACAUGUACAUGUAUAUAUGUAUAUAUCCAUCUCAAUAUAAAUAUAUGUGAGAGCUGUAAAUACUCCUUGGUCAUGCAUCUGUCUUCUUCAUAGUAUCAUAUCUUCAAUGUUAUGUUAACGACUCCAUUUAUUGAUGAUGAGAUCAUGUGUAGACCUGUAUCCUCCUGACAUAGUUUAUGUAGGGUCUCUUCUCAAAUAAAGAAUAAAAC